rnacentral:rRNA from 1 species
CAGCCGCCGCGGUAAUACGAAGGGGGCUAGCGUUAUUCGGAAUUACUGGGCGUAAAGCGUACGUAGGCGGAUUGUUAAGUGAGGGGUGAAAUCCCGAGGCUCAACCUCGGAACUGCCUUUCAUACUGGCAAUCUUGAGUCCGGGAGAGGUGAGUGGAACUCCUAGUGUAGAGGUGAAAUUCGUAGAUAUUAGGAAGAACACCAGUGGCGAAGGCGGCUCACUGGCCCGGAACUGACGCUGAGGUACGAAAGCGUGGGGAGCAAACAGGAUUAGAUACCCCCGUAGUCCCUGUCUCUUAUAC